rnacentral:lncRNA from 1 species
GAGUGGGGAUGGGUGAGUUGGGCAGGUGAGGGGCAAGGUGAUUGAGGCCGAUGCGUGUUCAGAAGGCAGUGGGGAGGCUCGAGGGUUCUCCGCUGUGACUUGGAGGACGCCCCCACAGUCGAGGCGGAUCAAGUCCCAGCUCCGAUGUCCCCUUGCUGUGUGACACCCUGCACACCCCUCGCCGUGGGGAACAAUGCCAGCGCCCUCCUCCCUUAGCCUGGCUCACGGGCAGACGGUGGGGUACGCUGUGUGCCACUACCAGGUGCUCCGACACAAGCGACCGCGUCAGCACGGAAGACCUCUGUGGCUGCUCUGGGAUCCCGUCCUCGGAUCUCCUGCCGUUCCGGGGAGCAUGACCAGUUGGACUGGCAGGUAACUGACACGACACAACCCCACGGAGCCCCACCAGUGCAUCCCUCACCCCCCUACACCCCCGACACCACCGUACGCCGGAUGAACGUGGUCGAUUGGCUUUGGGCAAGGCAUGGACUCAAAGACCAUUCGGGAUCAUUUCCCGCGGGAGCCCCGGAAGUAAGCCAGAGGUGGAGAGUGGAAGGGCUUGAGCACUGGGCACGGGUCCCCGGCGUUGAUCUCCCGCCCACAUUGCCCGUGGCUCACUCAGCCCGCCCCCUCCAGGGAGGGACACUGAUGACGGACAGGCUGUAAAACCCAGGGGAACUGGCAGGAAUCUGCCAAGGUAUGCGCCUCACCUGUCAUUGCCUCUGAAGAUAAAAUCAAAAGUUGCUUUUGACCCUGGCUUUGCUCUGCUGGCUCGUGCUUGUGGGGGUGGGGGGUGCUCCCCAACUGCUGACCCCAGGGCAGGGCCUGGGCACUGUGUCCGGUUUCUUUCCCUCCUCCUGGCCUCUGCACCCUCCAGGCAGCUUUUGGAACCAUCCUGCAGGGAUCUCGUCUGCUUUCCUCCGUUUCCAAGUCCCAUCAAGUCCAGUUCAAAUGCUGCCUCCUCCAGGAAGCCUUCCCACACCUUGGCGGUCAGAACUGGCCUCUACAACUUCGUAACUCCCAGAAAUAUCACGGGCUCGGAGGAGUUUCACGUGGGCGCCACACUGCACUUGCAUGCUCGGAGAGCCCUGGCACCCAGGUAAACAGGAGGAACCCUAGGGGUGCGUGGGCUGCAGGUUAAGACUUGAGAUGAAGUUGCAUUUCUGAAAAGAGCGAGGGGGGUCUGUGCCGGUGAGAGAGGAGGCGGGAACUGAGGGCAG